UCAAGUUUACAUACAUACAGCAGGAGAACGUAAAAUGUAUAUUUCUGUUAUAUUUCAGAUUCCCAAGAAGAUGCGUUUGAUAAAAGAGCAAUGAAUGGAA